UAACAUGGACGAAUGGGUGUGAAUCGAGGAAGAUUAUUUGAUACUUGGCAGGAUUGAUCCUCCUUCAGCCCCCGUUCAUCCGAUUAAUGAACAGGGACCACGAAGGCAAACAUUCAUAACCUGUUAGAAUGCCGAACUUUGUGACAAUAUUGCGAGUUAUGACUGAGAUUAUGGUGUUUGUACUGUCGUUAUCGUUUGGUCCAUAUUGUUCCACGUAACGGAAAGAGGAAAAAUAAUUCAACUCUUUUGACAAAUGAUUAUGUAUGAUCAUCCUCACCAUUUGAGUUGUCACUCUUUCGGAAAGAAUUUGGCUGCCAAACAACAAUGAGGUUAUGGCCAGGAACAACAAUAUGAGAUAUGAUACCAUAAUAAAUAUCUCAUUAGAGAGCAUCAGACUGUCAUUAAUUUAGUGAUGUACUGAACAUUAUUUUGAAGAACUGACAAGGUGGCGUCACCUAGUUUUUAAACUUGAUUGCUCGAAAUAAUGCACGAAGUUAUUUAGAUAUAUGCUAAGUAAAACUUGGGUCGGAUGCGGGUAUGCGCGAACACCACUAAAAGCGCAGCCCCGCGCCGCGAUUAUGACGCUGGGGACGGCUCCCGUGCUGCCGCGCACCGAACGCGGUAUAAUAGAAUCCCACCCCAGCAAAGAGCCCGGUUUGACGGUUGGCCCCUAUGCCUCCACCUCCACCUCCACCUCCACCUCCACCUCCACCGAGCGUUUUUUGAGUUGGUGGAUGCGUGUUCCAAAAGCAAGUAAGAAUUCUUUUUUUUUAAUGACAAGGAGGCUAGAAGAUAGCCACGAAUGAAGAAAAAUUAUGAAGGAAGAACUCAAAACACCGAGAGCAUAGAUUUUGUUAGGAUAAAUCUUCGGCUCACAAUCGAUUAAGAUCAACC
rnacentral:lncRNA from 1 species